GACGAUUCUACUUGAGCGAUCCACGUACAUAUAACAUUGUAGUAAAAAUUGAAAGCGAAAUAUCAGAUACAAACUUAUCCGUCUUUUAGUAAAGAUAUUUACACAUCUUUCGAUUGACUACUCGAAGGAAAAAACUUUACCUCAACUCCUAAAACCGCAGAAAAAAAGAUUCUUCUUAAAAUGGCUUCGGCGAAGUUUAUUGUCGUAUUAUGUUUUGCACUGAUGAUACUCAGCCUAUAUUCUGUUGAUGGCAGCUCACUUUAUAUUAAUUCUUCUAGCUUAAGAAGAGGAAGAUCUAUAAGAUCUAUAGGUGAAAUUAAAGAAAAAUGAAUGAAUGAGGGAAUUGUUUUAAUUUGAUGGAAAUAUGCAUAAUACUUCAACUAUUACAAGACUAGAAUGCAGAAUUUCUAAUUAAGUGAAAAAUUAUGUCUAAAAGAGGAAUGUAACAAAAUUUUCAUAAAAUUAUCCGCAUCUGUGAUCCGCACUAGAGCACAUGUUUAAACAUAUCGUAAAACAAGCGACAGGAUUCGAUUAUUGUGAGGAUGAUACGUCCGUUAAAUGUCAACGCCAAAAUUACGCCACCAGAGUGAUAUCCAAACAACGAUAACAAUAUAUAAACAUAAUUUGAUCAUAAAAUGCGUAUGAAUUUUAUUUUCAAAAUGUUAUUUAACUAAAAUGAGUUUAAAUUCUUAAGAGUUGAAGAAAGUGUGUACUAUUUCUAUUUCAAUACGAAACAAAUGACGACGUCUUAUGGCUUAUUGUAUGAUACUUACUUACUAAAAAGACAGGCAAAAAGAUUUAUUUUGGGUUCUUAUAUUGAUCUUCGAUCUCUAUAUUCUAUAUCAUGGUGAUGGUUAACUGUAUAAUGAUAAAAUAAAAGUUUGCAAGCA